rnacentral:rRNA from 1 species
GAUGAACGCUGGCGGCGUGCCUAAUACAUGCAAGUCGAGCGAACAGACGAGGAGCUUGCUCCUCUGACGUUAGCGGCGGACGGGUGAGUAACACGUGGAUAACCUACCUAUAAGACUGGGAUAACUUCGGGAAACCGGAGCUAAUACCGGAUAAUAUAUUGAACCGCAUGGUUCAAUAGUGAAAGACGGUUUUGCUGUCACUUAUAGAUGGAUCCGCGCCGCAUUAGCUAGUUGGUAAGGUAACGGCUUACCAAGGCAACGAUGCGUAGCCGACCUGAGAGGGUGAUCGGCCACACUGGAGCUGAGACACGGACCAGACGCCUACGGGAGGCAGCAGUAGGGAAUCUUCCGCAAUGGGCGAAAGCCUGACGGAGCAACGCCGCGUGAGUGAUGAAGGUCUUCGGAUCGUAAAACUCUGUUAUUAGGGAAGAACAAAUGUGUAAGUAACUAUGCACGUCUUGACGGUACCUAAUCAGAAAGCCACGGCUAACUACGUG